rnacentral:rRNA from 1 species
UUUGAUGGCGACCGGCAAACGGGUGCGGAACACGUACACAACCUUCCGGUAAGUGGGGAAUAGCCCAGAGAAAUUUGGAUUAAUACCCCGUAACAUUGCGAUGUGGCAUCACAUUGCAAUUAUAGCUUCGGCGCUUAUUGAUGGGUGUGCGUAUGAUUAGAUAGUUGGCGAGGUAACGGCUCACCAAGUCUACGAUCAUUAGCUGAUGUGAGAGCAUGAUCAGCCACACGGGCACUGAGACACGGGCCCGACUCCUACGGGAGGCAGCAGUAAGGAAUAUUGGUCAAUGGACGAAAGUCUGAACCAGCUAUGCCGCGUGAAGGAUUAAGGUCCUCUGGAUUGUAAACUUCUUUUAUAUGGGAAGAAAAAAGGUCUUUCUAGAUCACUUGACGGUACCAUAUGAAUAAGCACCGGCUAACUCCGUGCCAGCAGCCGCGGUAAUACGGAGGGUGCAAGCGUUAUCCGGAUUCACUGGGUUUAAAGGGUGCGUAGGCGGGCAGGUAAGU